ACGAGUUUUGUACCAAUACGGUACAAUCUUCAUCCAUAACACCUGUGAACUUUACAUUAACAUUUGCUUUGGCUGGACGUAAAAAACCUAGCCAAAGGAUUAAACAAAACCUUUUAUUUAAUAACCUAUUGUCUGAAUUGUAAUAAUUUUAAUUAUUCA
rnacentral:misc_RNA from 1 species